CCUACGGGUGGCUGCAGUGGGGAAUAUUGCACAAUGGGCGCAAGCCUGAUGCAGCCAUGCCGCGUGUGUGAAGAAAGCCUUCGGGUUGUAAAGCACUUUCAGCGGGGAGGAAGGCGGUGAGGUUAAUAACCUCAUCGAUUGACGUUACCCGCAGAAGAAGCACCGGCUAACUCCGUGCCAGCAGCCGCGGUAAUACGGAGGGUGCAAGCGUUAAUCGGAAUUACUGGGCGUAAAGCGCACGCAGGCGGUCUGUCAAGUCGGAUGUGAAAUCCCCGGGCUCAACCUGGGAACUGCAUUCGAAACUGGCAGGCUAGAGUCUUGUAGAGGGGGGUAGAAUUCCAGGUGUAGCGGUGAAAUGCGUAGAGAUCUGGAGGAAUACCGGUGGCGAAGGCGGCCCCCUGGACAAAGACUGACGCUCAGGUGCGAAAGCGUGGGGAGCAAACAGGAUUAGAUACCCCUGUAGUC
rnacentral:rRNA from 1 species